rnacentral:rRNA from 1 species
GCCGCGGAACCCGUAAGGGUUGGUAGAGGAGCAUUCUUAGGGGAGCGAAGCAUUACCGGAAGGGGAUGUGGACUGCUAAGAAGAGAGAAUGCCGGAAUGAGUAGCGAGAGCAAGGUGAGAAUCCUAGCGGCCGAAUAUCCAAGGUUUCCAGAGUAAAGCUGAUCUGCUCUGGGUAAGUCGGGGCCUAAGGAGAGGCAGAGAUGCGUAUCCGAUGGACAGCAGGUUUAAGAUUCCUGCACCCCUUGUUAUCAGAACUGCGGGGACACGGGAAGGGAAGCAGAGCCGGGAAUGGAAAGCCCGGUGCAAGCGAAGUAGUCGCAGGGUUGGAAAAUCCGCCCUGCAUGAGACGAAGGCGUGAUGCGGAGCGAAAUGAAGUAGUGAAGCUGCGGCCCCUUCCUGUCGAGAAAAGCCGCUAUCGUGUAGCAAGGGCCCGUACCGUAAACCGACACAGGUGGAUGAGGAGAGGAUCCUAAGGCCGGCGGGAGAAGUGUUGUUAAGGAACUCGGCAAAAUGACUCCGUAACUUCGGGAGAAGGAGUGCUGCGCAAGCAUCCGCAGAGAAAUGGCCCAAGCAACUGUUUAGCAAAAACACAGGUCUAUGCGAAACCGAAAGGUGAGGUAUAUGGGCUGACGCCUGCCCGGUGCUGGAAGGUUAAGGGGAGAGCUUAGCGCAAGCGAAGGUUUGAACUUAAGCCCCAGUAAACGGCGGCCGUAACUAUAACGGUCCUAAGGUAGCGAAAUUCCUUGUCGGGUAAGUUCCGACCCGCACGAAAGGCGUAAUGAUUUGGGCACUGUCUCAACAACACACCCGGUGAAAUUGAAAUACCAGUGAAGAUGCUGGUUACCCGCGCCAGGACGGAAAGACCCCAUGGAGCUUUACUCCAGCCUGAUACUGGGAUUCGGUAUUGCAUGUACAGGAUAGGUGGGAGGCUAAGAACUUAUGGCGCCAGCCGUGAGGGAGCCGAUGUUGGGAUACCACCCCUGCAGUACUGGGUUUCUAACCUGCGCCCGUGACCCGGGCGGGGGACAAUGUCAGGCGGGGAGUUUGACUGGGGCGGUCGCCUCCGAAAGGGUAUCGGAGGCGCUCAAAGGUCUCCUCAGGAUGGUUGGAAACCAUCCAGAGAGUGCAAAGGCAGAAGGAGGCUUGACUGCGACACCGACGGGUGGAGCAGGUACGAAAGUAGGACUUAGUGAUCCGGUGGCAUAAAGUGGGAUUGCCAUCGCUCAACGGAUAAAAGCUACCCUGGGAUAACUGGCUUAUCACUCCCAAGAGUUCACAUCGACGGAGUGGUUCGGCACCUCGAUGUCGGCUCAUCGCAUCCUGGAGCUGGAGCAGGUUCCAAGGGUUGGGCUGUUCGCCCAUUAAAGCGGUACGCGAGCUGGGUUCAGAACGUCGUGAGACAGUUCGGUCCCUAUCCGGCGCGGGCGCAGGAUAUCUGAGAGGAGCUGUCCUUAGUACGAGAGGACCGGGAUGGACCGUCCGCUGGUGGACCGGUUGUCAUGCCAAUGGCACGGCCGGGUAGCCAAGACGGGAAGGGAUAAACGCUGAAGGCAUCUAAGCGUGAAGCCCCCCUCAAGAUGAGAUAUCCAUACUCGAAAGAGUGAGAGACCCCUUAGAGACGAUGAGGUAGAUAGGGCAGAGAUGGAAGCACAGCGAUGUGUGGAGUUGACUGUUACUAAUCGGUCGAUAGCUUGACC